rfam:Gorilla gorilla gorilla genomic chromosome, chr12, whole genome shotgun sequence
GCCGGGUGUGGUGGCAUGCACCUGUAGUCCCAGCUACUUGGGAGGCUGAGGUGGGAGGAUCACUUGAAUCCAGGAAGCAGAGGUUGCAGUGAGCCAAGAUCACACCACUGCACUCUAUCCUGGGUGACAGAAUGAGGCUCUGUCUCAAAAAAAAAAAAAAAAAAAGUAAAGCAAUCUUUACUUUCCCCAGUUACUGAGGAAGCUGAGAGCUGAGGCAGGAAGGAUCACUUGAACCCAGGAGCUGUGGACUGUAGUGUGCUAUACUAUUCGGGUGUCUGCACUAAGUUCGCCAUCAAUAUGGUGACUUCCCAAGAGUGAGGGGCCACCAGGUUGCCUAAGGAGGGGUGAACUGGCCCAAGUCAGAAACUGAGCAGGUCAAAACUCCCGUGCAGCGCUGGGCGCAGUGGCUUACACCUGUAAUCCCAGCACUUUGGGAGGCUGAGGCAGGCGGAUCACCUGAGGUCAGGAGUUCAAGACUAGCCUGGCCAACAUGGCGAAACCCCAUCUCUA